rnacentral:rRNA from 1 species
AAAUGAAUUGACGGGGGAGCACAACAACGGGUGGAGCUUGCGGUUUAAUUGGAUUCAACGCCGGAAAUCUUACCGGGACCGACAGCAACAUGAAGGCCAAGCUGAAGACUUUGCCGGAUUAGCUGAGAGGUGGUGCAUGGCCGUCGUCAGUUCGUACUGUGAAGCAUCCUGUUAAGUCAGGCAACGAGCGAGACCCACGCCCACAGUUGCCAGCGUACUCUCCGGAGUGACGGGUACACUGUGGGGACCGCCGCUGCUAAAGCGGAGGAAGGAAUGGGCAACGGUAGGUCAGUAUGCCCCGAAUAUCCCGGGCCACACGCGAGCUACAAUGGUUGGUACAAUGGGUAUCUACCCCGAAAGGGGACGGAAAUCUCCUAAAACCAAUCUUAGUUCGGAUUGAGGGCUGCAACUCGCCCUCAUGAAGCUGGAAUCCGUAGUAAUCGCGUUUCAACAGAACGCGGUGAAUACGUCCCUGCUCCUUGCACACACCGCCCGU